AUUGAACGCUGGCGGCAGGCCUAACACAUGCAAGUCGAGCGGAUGAAGGGAGCUUGCUCCUGGAUUCAGCGGCGGACGGGUGAGUAAUGCCUAGGAAUCUGCCUGGUUGUGGGGGAUAACGUCCGGAAACGGGCGCUAAUACCGCAUACGUCCUGAGGGAGAAAGUGGGGGAUCUUCGGACCUCACGCUAUCAGAUGAGCCUAUGUCGGAUUAGCUAGUUGGCGGGGUAAAGGCCUACCAAGGCGACGAUCCGUAACUGGUCUGAGAGGAUGAUCAGUCACACUGGAACUGAGACACGGUCCAGACUCCUACGGGAGGCAGCAGUGGGGAAUAUUGGACAAUGGGCGAAAGCCUGAUCCAGCCAUGCCGCGUGUGUGAAGAAGGUCUUCGGAUUGUAAAGCACUUUAAGUUGGGAGGAAGGGCAGUAAGUUAAUACCUUGCUGUUUUGACGGUACCAACAGAAUAAGCACCGGCUAACUUCGUG
rnacentral:rRNA from 1 species